rnacentral:rRNA from 1 species
UCCUAGCCGUAAACGAUCCCCGCUAGGUGUCUGCUCGCAAGGGUGGGUGCCGUAGUUAACACGUUAAGCGGGGCACCUGGGGACUACAGCCGCAAGGCUAAAACUCAAAGGAAUUGGCGGGGCCAGCACAAGCGGUGGAACACGUGGUUCAAUUCGAUGCUACGCGAGGAACCUUACCAGGGCUUGACAUUCUGGAAUGUAGUCAGGUGGAAAC